rnacentral:rRNA from 1 species
AACGAACGCUGGCGGCAUGCCUAACACAUGCAAGUCGAACGAGAUCUUCGGGUCUAGUGGCGCACGGGUGCGUAACGCGUGGGAAUCUGCCCUUUGGUUCGGAAUAACAGUUGGAAACGACUGCUAAUACCGGAUGAUGACGAAAGUCCAAAGAUUUAUCGCCAGAGGAUGAGCCCGCGUAGGAUUAGCUAGUUGGUGUGGUAAAGGCGCACCAAGGCGACGAUCCUUAGCUGGUCUGAGAGGAUGAUCAGCCACACUGGGACUGAGACACGGCCCAGACUCCUACGGGAGGCAGCGGUGGGGAAUAUUGGACAAUGGGCGAAAGCCUGAUCCAGCAAUGCCGCGUGAGUGAUGAAGGCCUUAGGGUUGUAAAGCUCCUUUACCCGGGAUGAUAAUGACAGUACCGGGAGAAUAAGCUCCGGCUAGCUCCGUGCCAGCCGCCGCGGUAA